GUGUCAAUGGCUGCAAAUAGCAGCUUUAUCCUCGGUGUAUAGUGCCUGUUGCUUGUACAGGUAGCCUUUGGGACUUGGAGACAGCC
ensembl:snoRNA SNORA70 Small nucleolar RNA SNORA70